rnacentral:sRNA from 1 species
AAAGUGCCAGGAACCCAUAUCGCAUGCAAGCGUGUGUGUUCAAAUUAGCCUUCUCCAGGGAGGAAUUCACAGCGCCAGGAAUACGCGCAGUGAUGUUCUUUUGCACUUUUGCAUUUUAAAAUGUGCAUCGCUUACGAGCACAGCAUUUUCAAGCCUUUUCUUGAGAUCAGCUCGUUCAGUUACAUAUGCUUUUGAAGAUGACCAUUUGUGAAACCGUCAGCCACUGGCAAAGUGAAGAAAAAUGAAGAUUUCGGCCUAGUUGAUGUGUGCUCGGGGAAAGGAUUUGCGCAAGCAGGUAGCGCCGCUGCUGAAGAGUUUCCAAGGAGAGAUUGAUGCACUGAGUAAAAGAAGCAAGGAAGCUGAAGCAGCUUUCUUGAAUGUCUACAAAAGGUUGAUUGACGUCCCAGAUCCCGUACCAGCUUUGGAUCUCGGACAGCAACUCCAGCUCAAAGUGCAGCGCCUGCACGAUAUUGAAACAGAGAACCAGAAACUUAGGGAAACUCUGGAAGAAUACAACAAGGAAUUUGCUGAAGUGAAAAAUCAAGAGGUUACGAUAAAAGCACUUAAAGAGAAAAUCCGAGAAUAUGAACAGACACUGAAGAACCAAGCCGAAACCAUAGCUCUUGAGAAGGAACAGAAGUUACAGAAUGACUUUGCAGAAAAGGAGAGAAAGCUGCAGGAGACACAGAUGUCCACCACCUCAAAGCUGGAGGAAGCUGAGCAUAAGGUUCAGAGCCUACAAACAGCCCUGGAAAAAACUCGAACAGAAUUAUUUGACCUGAAAACCAAAUACGAUGAAGAAACUACUGCAAAGGCCGACGAGAUUGAAAUGAUCAUGACGGACCUUGAAAGGGCAAACCAGAGGGCAGAGGUGGCUCAGAGAGAGGCGGAGACCUUAAGGGAACAGCUCUCAUCGGCCAAUCACUCCCUCCAGCUGGCCUCACAGAUCCAGAAGGCACCAGACGUGGAGCAGGCCAUAGAGGUGCUGACCCGCUCCAGCCUAGAAGUUGAGUUGGCCGCCAAGGAGCGGGAGAUCGCACAGCUGGUGGAGGACGUGCAGAGACUCCAGGCCAGCCUCACCAAGCUGCGGGAGAAUUCGGCCAGCCAGAUCUCGCAGCUUGAGCAGCAGCUGAGCGCCAAAAACAGCACACUCAAACAACUGGAAGAAAAACUCAAAGGCCAGGCUGACUAUGAAGAGGUGAAGAAAGAGCUGAACAUUCUGAAGUCCAUGGAGUUUGCACCGUCCGAGGGCGCUGGGACACAGGAUGCGGCCAAGCCCCUGGAGGUGCUGUUGCUGGAGAAGAACCGCUCGCUGCAGUCCGAGAACGCCGCACUGCGCAUCUCCAACAGCGACCUGAGCG